UACGUAGGGGGCUAGCGUUGUCCGGAAUCAUUGGGCGUAAAGAGCGUGUAGGCGGCUCGGUAAGUCCGCUGUGAAAGUCCAGGGCUCAACCCUGGAAUGCCGGUGGAAACUGUCGAGCUAGAGUCCGGAAGAGGUGAGUGGAAUUCCUGGUGUAGCGGUGAAAUGCGCAGAUAUCAGGAGGAACACCAAUGGCGAAGGCAGCUCACUGGGUCUCUUCUGACGCUGAGGCACGAAAGCGUGGGGAGCGAACAGG
rnacentral:rRNA from 1 species